AUUGAACGCUGGCGGCAGGCCUAACACAUGCAAGUCGAGCGGAUGAAGGGAGCUUGCUCCUGGAUUCAGCGGCGGACGGGUGAGUAAUGCCUAGGAAUCUGCCUGGUAGUGGGGGAUAACGUCCGGAAACGGGCGCUAAUACCGCAUACGUCCUGAGGGAGAAAGUGGGGGAUCUUCGGACCUCACGCUACCAGAUGAGCCUAGGUCGGAUUAGCUAGUUGGUGGGGUAAAGGCCUACCAAGGCGACGAUCCGUAACUGGUCUGAGAGGAUGAUUAGUCACACUGGAACUGAGACACGGUCCAGACUCCUACGGGAGGCAGCAGUGGGGAAUAUUGGACAAUGGGCGAAAGCCUGAUCCAGCCAUGCCGCGUGUGUGAAGAAGGUCUUCGGAUUGUAAAGCACUUUAAGUUGGGAGGAAGGGCAGUAAGUUAAUACCUUGCUGUUUUGACGUUACCAACAGAAUAAGCACCGGCUAACUUCGUG
rnacentral:rRNA from 1 species